UUACAGCCAUAUCAAAUUGAAACACUGGUACUCAUAUAAUCACUGAAGUUAAGCAAUGCCGAGCCUGGUCAGUACCUAUGUGGGUGACAUCUUGGGAAUAGCAGGUGCU